GAAUUCUACAAAGAGGCUAUGGGAAAGAAACCUGGAAAGUACCCUUGGCUGUGUACAUUUGAGUAAAGAGAGCACUAUAAAAUCAAAAACCAAUGAAAUGGUUUCCAGAACACAGAACUAUUAAGCUUAAGAAAAGGACAGAAGGAACUGAAGAGAGAGGAACUGUUUUGGAGCAUCACACUUCCACCUCAGAAGAAAUAAGGAAGGAAGGAGGAGGGUGUUCCCACGGCUCUUCAACCAGGCCGGCUCUUCAGCCUACAUCCCCAUCUCAUCAAGUAAAAGGGAUUUUUCAACUGGACCAACCAGAUGGUUUAACAGUGCACUCCCACACCAUUCAACUACGCAAGGGAGAUACACUUAACAUAUGCAGUCGUAUAACACCUACUAACAUUUUCAAACAUUAAACCUUUAAAAAAGAGUUCUAAAGAAAUAGAAGCUUGAAGUAUCAUCUCUCAAGUAUAUAGACACUACUUCAUGGUGUGGUAAUAUAUGCAUAUAGAAGCUAGUAAACACCUCCAGGAGAUGCAAAAGGAAUUAGAACUGCCACAAGGUGCAAGCAAAACCUUGAGUCUCCAUUGAUGGUGAAGUAUUUUCACUAUUUGGCAUGUCUUCUCUAGUACCUAGAGCAGUGCGUUGCAUGCAGUAGCAGGUUUAUAAACAUUUGCGAGUAAAACAUCCAACCUGAUACUCAAGGUGAGAAAAUCGAAUUUGGACACCGUUGAGGAGACUAUUGCAGUCAUCCAAGCUCAAGAUGGUGGAGCUUCAUCCUUGAGAAUAACCAAUGGGGAUAGAUUUAAGAGACACUUAGAGUCUGCAGCCAACAGGGCUGAAUGAGCAGAGAGUUAUGAUUCAGAAGAUCAUCUAAAAUUGAACAGCUGCCACUACUGGCAAUAAGUCUACUGCCAUUUGGUAGAUAACCUUCUUAUCACACAGAAAAAUAUCAGUACAGACAAAUAGACCGCAAAGAAAAUGAGACCAUCAGCAAAGAAGAUAAAGAAGUUUGUACAAAGCAACUUUUUAUAAAUGGAUGGCUGUCAGGCAAAAAUAAAUUUCCUGUGGACAAGACCAAGAGCAAGGCAAGAGGAAAAUAAACAUGUUUAAACUA
rnacentral:lncRNA from 1 species